AUACGGAGGAUGCGAGCGUUAUCCGGAUUUAUUGGGUUUAAAGGGUGCGUAGGCUGUGCGUUAAGUCAGGGGUGAAAUGCCGUCGCUCAACGACGGAGCUGCCCUUGAUACUGGCGUGCUGGAGUACGGAUGCCGUUGGAGGAAUGAGUGGUGUAGCGGUGAAAUGCUUAGAUAUCACUCAGAACACCGAUUGCGAAGGCAGCUGACGAUUCCGUCACUGACGCUGAGGCACGAAAGCGUGGGGAUAGAACAGGAUUAGAUACCCUGGUAUUCCACGCCGUAAACGAUGAUGACUAACCGUCGGCGAUAGACAGCCGGUGGCCAAGCGAAAGCGAUAAGUCAUCCACCUGGGGAGUACGUCGGCAACGAUGAAACUCAAAUGAAUUGACGGGG
rnacentral:rRNA from 1 species